GUUUUUUGUGGUGUUGGGGAUGGAACCCAGGGGCUUCUGGAUUCUUGGCAAGUGCUUCACCACUGGCUUCCGUCCCGGCCCUCAGAAGACUUCCAUUGAAGAAUGGAAUGGUGCUACUGUGAGCUGGGAGAGACCUGCCGUUCUUGCAUCUCACCUGAAUGUGGUUAAAGACUCUUCUUCACUAACCAGAUCCUCUGCAGAUGUAGCAGGCUCCCUGGCUUCUACUGAAUAAACAAGCAGAAGAACCUGGCUAAGGAAGCUGCAAGUGACACUCUUCCACUUCUCCAGUGAGGAAGUUCAGUGUUAUCUUAUCAAGAUGUGAAAGAGGUGCCCAAGAGGAACCUGGGGGUCUGAGUGGAGAGCAAGAACAGAUGCUGAGAAAGGAAAAUGAGGACAGUUAUUUAAACCACAGUCAUGUCCCCACGCAGUCAUAGCAUUCGGUGUUUGUAAUUUUCUUUCCAGUCUUUUAUUUACAUCAUAACUGUGAAAACCAGAUUAACAUUUUACUAUAUAUAGUUUUAUGCCUGAAUUCAAAAAAAUUAACAUAUGCCAAGAGCAUUUAUCCAUUAAACAUACUGCUAAGUAUUCUAUUAACGACAUAAAAUCUCAUCUUCUGGCCGUUCUAUAACUAUGUGGAACUGAUCUGUAGAAGGGCAUUGUGGCUGUUUUCAGCUCUACUAUUAUAACACAGGUGUAGGGGAACAAUAAGGGCUUUUAUAUCUACAGUGUUGCUAUUUAAAAUUCAAUUCCACCAUCCUUUUAGACAAGCAUUUGUACAUAAAAUGUCUAACCUCUGA